UACAACCUGAACUCAGACGUGAUUACCCGCUGAACUUAAGCAUAUCAUUUAGCGGAGGAAAAGAAACUAACUA
rnacentral:rRNA from 1 species